rnacentral:rRNA from 1 species
GCUUAUGGCCAAACCACCCUGAGCACGCCCGAUCUCGUAUGAUCUCGGAAGCUAAGCAGGGUCGGGCCUGGUUAGUACUUAGAUGGGAGACCGCCUGGGAAUACCAGGUGUUGUAAGCU